rnacentral:rRNA from 1 species
GUAGAGGAUGCUUCUGGGCAGCGGCCGGUCUAAGUUCCUUGGAACAGGACGUCAUAGAGGGUGAGAAUCCCGUAUGCGACCGGUUGGCACCCAUUACGUAGCUCCUUCGACGAGUCGAGUUGUUUGGGAAUGCAGCUCUAAAUGGGAGGUAAAUUCCUUCUAAAGCUAAAUACCGGCCAGAGACCGAUAGCGCACAAGUAGAGUGAUCGAAAGAUGAAAAGCACUUUGGAAAGAGAGUUAAAAAGCACGUGAAAUUGUUGAAAGGGAAGCGCAUGCAAUCAGACUUGUCGGCGGUGUUCCGCCGGUCUUUUGACCGGUCUACUCGCCGCCGGCAGGCCAGCAUCACGUGGGAGCGCCAGAUAAAGGCGCCGGGAAUGUGGCUCCUCGGAGUGUUAUAGCCCGGCGCACAAUAUGGCGUCCCCCGCGUGAGGUCCGCGCUUCGGCUAGGAUGCUGGCGUAAUGGUUGUAUGCGGCCCGUCUUGAAACACGGACCAAGGAGUCUAACAUCUAUGCGAGUGUUCGGGUGUCAAACCCCUACGCGUAAUGAAAGUGAACGGAGGUGGGAACCGCAAGGUGCACCAUCGACCGAUCCUGAUGUCCUUCGGAUGGAUUUGAGUAAGAGCAUAGCUGUUGGGACCCGAAAGGUGGUGAACUAUGCCUGAAUAGGGUGAAGCUAGAGGAAAGUGUGGUGGAGGCUCGCAGCGGUUCUGACGUGCAAAUCGAUCGUCA